rnacentral:rRNA from 1 species
GAUGAACGCUGGCGGCGUGCCUAAUACAUGCCAGUCGAGCGAACAGACGAGGAGCUUGCUCCUCUGACGUUAGCGGCGGACGGGUGAGUAACACGUGGAUAACCUACCUAUAAGACUGGGAUAACUUCGGGAAACCGGAGCUAAUACCGGAUAAUAUAUUGAACCGCAUGGUUCAAUAGUGAAAGACGGUUUUGCUGUCACUUAUAGAUGGAUCCGCGCCGCAUUAGCUAGUUGGUAAGGUAACGGCUUACCAAGGCAACGAUGCGUAGCCGACCUGAGAGGGUGAUCGGCCACACUGGAACUGAGACACGGUCCAGACUCCUACGGGAGGCAGCAGUAGGGAAUCUUCCGCAAUGGGCGAAAGCCUGACGGAGCAACGCCGCGUGAGUGAUGAAGGUCUUCGGAUCGUAAAACUCUGUUAUUAGGGAAGAACAAAUGUGUAAGUAACUAUGCACGUCUUGACGGUACCUAAUCAGAAAGCCACGGCCAACUACGU